AACGACGACAAUCUCUUAUGGCAGAACUGUUGCAAAAGUGACCAGCUUUCAGCUGUAAAUAAUAGUUUCUAAUCUCUCCGGUGGCGCUAUACUCUAUGACAUGAACCAUAGAGGUAUAAUAAUGUAGAGAUGAAAUGGGGGAGGGGCAACAAA